rnacentral:rRNA from 1 species
GACGUAGGGCGCGAGCGUUGUCCGGAUUUAUUGGCGUAAAGAGCUCGUAGGCGGCUUGUCGCGUCGUUCGUGAAACCUGCAGCGUCAACUGCAGGCUUGCGGUCGAUACGGGCAGGCUAGAGUUCGGUAGGGGAGACUGGAAUUCCUGGUGUAGCGGUGAAAUGCGCAGAUAUCAGGAGGAACACCGGUGGCGAAGGCGGGUCUCUGGGCCGAUACUGACGCUGGAGGAGCGAAAG